AGUGAACGCUGGCGGUAGGCCUAACACAUGCCAGUCGAACGGCAGCACAGUAAGAGCUUGCUCUUACGGGUGGCGAGUGGCGGACGGGUGAGGAAUACAUCGGAAUCUACUUUUUCGUGGGGGAUAACGUAGGGAAACUUACGCUAAUACCGCAUACGACCUACGGGUGAAAGCAGGGGAUCUUCGGACCUUGCGCGAUUGAAUGAGCCGAUGUCGGAUUAGCUAGUUGGCGGGGUAAAGGCCCACCAAGGCGACGAUCCGUAGCUGGUCUGAGAGGAUGUACGCCCACACUGGACCUGAGACAGGGUCCAGACUCCUCGGGAGGCCAGCAGGGGGGAAUUUAGAACAGUGGGCGCAGGCUGGAUCCAGCCAUACCGCGGGGGUAAAGAAGGCCUUCGGUUGUAAAGCCCUUUUUGUGGGAAAAAAAACACAACAGUUAAAUCCCCCCGUGUUCUGAGGGUACCAAAGAAAAAAGCACCGACUAGCUUCGUG
rnacentral:rRNA from 1 species